rnacentral:tRNA from 1 species
GCCACGCGAGUUGUCCCCGGUUCGGGUGCUGGCCGGCCGGAGCCUGGUCAACACGUUCGGCGGGGUUCCACUCCCCGGCGCGGCC